UAGUGAAUUCAAAAUUCCAAUUCGGCAAAGUUUCAAGUGAAACGUACUCUUAAGUGGACAAUAGUAAUUUUCAUUGUUUAGAGUAUGUAGCACCACCAUGACAUAUAUUCAAAAUUGUUUGAAGUUUAUUUCAUUGAUUAUAUGGAUGAAUCUAACCUUAAGUUGCAGCAAAGUGUGGAUUGAGUCGACUCCAAGAUUGGUGGAGUCGACCCCGGCACAUCAAGGAAACAUCUGGCACACUUCUGCAAAAAUGGCACGGAUGAACAGUACUUGGGUCGACCCAAGUGAAAGUUGAGUCGACCCCAUCUUCAAGCCUCAA
rnacentral:lncRNA from 1 species